UACGUAGGGUGCAAGCGUUGUCCGGAAUUAUUGGGCGUAAAGAGCUCGUAGGCGGUUUGUCGCGUCGAAUGUGAAAACCUGGGGCUCAACCCCGGGCCUGCAUUCGAUACGGGCAGACUAGAGUUCGGUAGGGGAGUCUGAAAUUCCUGGUGUAGCGGUGAAAUGUGUAGAGAUCGGGAGGAACACCGGUGGCGAAGGCGGGUCUCUGGGCAUCUCCUGACGCUGAGGCGCGAAAGCGUGGGGAGCAAACGGG
rnacentral:rRNA from 1 species